AACGAACGCUGGCGGCAUGCCUAACACAUGCAAGUCGAACGAGACCUUCGGGUCUAGUGGCGCACGGGUGCGUAACGCGUGGGAACCUGCCCUUAGGUUCGGAAUAACUCCCCGUAAGGGGUGCUAAUACCGGAUAAUGUCUUCGGACCAAAGAUUUAUCGCCUUUGGAUGGGCCCGCGUUGGAUUAGCUAGUUGGUAGGGUAAAAGCCUACCAAGGCGACGAUCCAUAGCUGGUCUGAGAGGAUGAUCAGCCACACUGGGACUGAGACACGGCCCAGACUCCUACGGGAGGCAGCAGUGGGGAAUAUUGGACAAUGGGCGAAAGCCUGAUCCAGCAAUGCCGCGUGAGUGAUGAGGGCCUUAGGGUUGUAAAGCUCUUUUACCCGGGAUGAUAAUGACAGUACCGGGAGAAUAAGCUCCGGCUAACUCCGUG
rnacentral:rRNA from 1 species